rnacentral:rRNA from 1 species
UACGUAGGGUGCGAGCGUUAAUCGGAAUCACUGGGCGUAAAGCGCUCGUAGGCGGAUUGCUAAGUCAGGGGUGAAAUCCUGGAGCUCAACUCCAGAACUGCCUUUGAUACUGGCGAUCUCGAGUCCGGGAGAGGUGAGUGGAACUGCGAGUGUAGAGGUGAAAUUCGUAGAUAUUCGCAAGAACACCAGUGGCGAAGGCGGCUCACUGGCCCGGUACUGACGCUGAGGUGCGAAAGCGUGGGGAGCAAACAGG